GACGAACCGAGCGAACGUUUGUUCGGAAUCACUGGGCUUAAAGGGCGCGUAGGCGGAUUCUCAAGUCCGGGGUGAAAUCCCACAGCUCAACUGUGGAACUGCCUCGGAUACUGGGAGUCUCGAGGGUGGCAGGGGUAUGCGGAACUAUCGGUGGAGCGGUGAAAUGCGUAGAUAUGCGGAGGAACACCGAUGGCGAAGGCAAUCCCCUGGGCCUGCACUGACGCUCAUGCACGAAAGCGUGGGGAGCAAACAGG
rnacentral:rRNA from 1 species